rnacentral:lncRNA from 1 species
UCCUACAUCGACAGCUGACGGUCGUCCAUGGGCCAGUGCCCUCCGCCGGAGGAGUCGCUGGUGCUCGCUUAGGUCGGGGGCUUCCUCUUCCAUUUUCCCCACGACGCGUGCUUGGACAGGAUCUGGGGAGGUCGGGUGCUUCCUCUUCCAUUUUCCCCGCCAGUCGAGUGAGUAGGAGCAGUUUGCUGCUCCUGUGGUAUGCAUGCUAUCUCCUUUUUUGUGAUUGCUUCUGUUUUCCCUCUAGAUCAUAUGCAGUGUUUUUGCUUUUGGUGAUUGGAUUAAGUUGCUACAAGUACUGAGUUCACAUCAUCACGGCAAUUUUCAGAAAUCUUUGUAAUAGUUCACACAUCAUCACGGCAAUUUUUAGAAAUCUUUGUAAUAGUUGCACGGCAAAUUUUAGUUUAAGUUGCCAUGACAAUUUUUAGUUUAAGUCGCCAUGGCAAACUUAUUGUAAAUAGCAUGGCAAUUUUUGUUUGAAAUAUGACGGCAAAUAUACAUUUCCAAAACAUGGCAAAUUUAACUACGUAUCACGGAAAUAUACUUGUAUAGCCAUGGCAUUUUUAAUUUGUUUCCAUGGCAAAAGUACUCCAUUUUUGCUAUGGAAAAAAUUAAUCCGUUUAUUGACAUGGCAGUUUUCACUCCAUUUUUGCCAUGGCAAAUUUAACUUCAUUUUUUGGCAUGACAAAAAUAUGUUUAUUUUUCGCAUGGCAAAUUUUAGGUUAAGUUGCCAUGGCAAUUUUCAGUUUAAGUCGCCAUGACAAAUUUAUUGUAAAGAGCAUGGCAAUUUUAAUUCAAAUAUUAUGCAAAUCUAAAUUUAUAGAACAUGGCAAAUUUUAUUAUGUAGCAUCUUAAAUAUACUUGUGUAGCCAUGGCAUUUCUUAAUUUAUUUUCCAUGGCAAAAGUACUACUUUUUUGCCAUGGAAAAUUUCACACCAUUUUUGGCAUGGCAAAUUUAACUCCAUUUUAUGCCAUGUCAAACUUCUAUAAUUAACAUGUUCAAAAACAUGUAAACUUGCCAUGGCAAACUUAUAGUUGUUCAAAAACAUGGCAAACUUUGCCAUGGCAACUUACGAUGUUCAAAAACAUGGCAACCUUUUGUAGAUGUUCAAAAAUAUGACAAAUUUGACAUGGCAUUUUAAAAUGUUCAAAAACAUGGCAAACUUGCCAUGGCAACUAAAGUUGUUCAAAAACGUGGCAAUGUUUGUAGAUGUUUAAAAACAUGGCAAAUUUGCCAUGGCAACUAAAAUAAGUAUUGUUUAUAGAUGUGUCUUUUUCCAUGGCAACUAAAUUCAUUUUUUGCCAUGGUUCGUUGUGUCUUUUUGCCAUGUCCAUCUUAAGAAUGUUUGUCAUGGGCAUUACAAAUUAGUUUGAGAACAUGGCAAGUUUGUUCUUUCAAAUUUGUUUUUGCCAUCGGGAUUACAGGUAGAAUAUCAGUACAACUUAAGAUGUUUUCUCCAUUUUUUUCCGAAAAUUUUCUAUGUGUCUAGAGAUAGCUUUUUUCACCAUAUCACUUCAUGGCAACUUUUGCAAUUUUUUUUGUAAACUUUGUAGUGUUGGCAAUUUUUUUAUACUGUACAGAUGCAAUGAUUUAUUCCUUUUUUCUUGUUAUUUUUUAAAACAUAAACUUAAACAUGGCAGUUUUUUCAUAGAAUGGCAAAAAUCCAUGGCAAUUUUUUCGUGCAAUAGACCAUUGUUUAUUAGUAAUCACAGAAAAAACUGGGCUUCUUUUACUAGUUGUAACUUAAUAUGGGCUUUAUUUUUCGUUUUCCUUUUCACAGGAAAAAGGCCUGUAGGGCCCGAUGGUGGGGCGUUCGUGCUGGGGCGUUCUCCUCCCGAACGAGUCGUUCGGUCGAUGCCCCUCCCGUCCCGAACGAAGCCUUCGGGGUCCUUUUUUUAUAUAAAUUUGAUCAAACUUUGCUUCUUAUAAGGGGCCGUGCAUUGUGUUUUCCUAGAGGAAAGCGGAGCUCCAGGGUUAGCCUCGUUUGAAAGAAGAAACAACUUAUAUAUCCGCAUCUCUGGAAUACACAGGGUUCUCUGGAAUACUCAGGGUUUGGAUUCGAUUCAGUAAGUUUACUCGUAGCUGUGGAACGAUUGAGACACUUUUGGGAUUGCAGUCAGGUAGUAGCAUCAGCAUAUGCUCUAUUUUUAUACAGUGAUACUAAUAAUGGAGUAAUGUUCCUCUGAAACCUAUACAUCUGAUGUAGCGGCUGGAGCCACAAAGGUGCAACAAGACAAUCAAAGAGUAAACAGUUGCUGCAACACAGGCACUUUGAAAGAAAGAAACAAGAAAACAUACUUGUGGACACACACAAACACAUAUUAUAUUUCCUUGACACGGGUUGUUUCUUCAAUUACAGACCUUAAUUAGUACCACCAAAUCGCCAAACCGGUACAUGUUUCAUUCCAUCUCCUUAACGGCAAUUGGGCAGAUCGCGAGGGACACGGUUUCACAAUAAACUGGGAAAAGAGCUGCAGGCAGCAGACGCCGAAUCUACAUUUCAAAUCCCCAGUAGCUCUAUGAUUGCAUAAUUAACCUUUCAGAUUUUCUAUGCAGUAAUUAAUCACAAGCAUGAUACCAUUGUUUCCCACCGACAGUCAUGCAUCCAUUUUUCAUCAAAUUAGUUUCCGUUGACAAAGCUCAGUUGGUAAAACAUUAAAUAAGAAAAAAAACAUAAUAAAUGAACUUCGGCAAGCAUAAAUCACACAAUUGGAACAAAGCUAACUCAGUCCAUCUGUGGUUACACAACCCCAAUUUAUCAUCAGAACAUCAAGAGAUCUUACGUUCGAGAU